UACACGAAGUGCGUAUGGUGGAUGCCUUGGGAGAAGAAGCCGAUGAAGGACGUAGCAGGCUGCGAUAAGCGUCGGGGAGCUGCCAAGCGAGCAUUGAUCCGACGAUCUCCGAAUGGGGAUACCUCUUGCUGUGAAGCAGCGAGGUUGCCAGGAGUGCUCCACCACUCUGUCUCUACCGUCAGAUCCAUACUUUAGGGAUCUUCCAGACGGUCUCAAACGAGCGCAGGGUGGUUGGGCACUCCUGACAUCGGGCACCUGGGGAACUGAAACAUCUCAGUACCCAGAGGAACAGAAAACAACACUCUCAGUUUUGAGAGAUAGUUCUGUUGUCGUUUGUGGCGCAAGCCCCAAGCGCCGACACGAAUUAUGUGAUUCCGUCAGUAGCGGCGAGCGAACGCGGAGGAGCCCAGCGAUGGAAGGCGGGUGAGUGGUAGUGGAACGCUCCUGGAACGGACGACCAGAGCGGGUGAGAGUCCCGUACACGAAACUACCCAUCCAAACUGAAAUCGCCGAUCUGUCGCAAGAUAGAUUGUGAGUAGGCCGAGGCACGUGAAACCUCGGUUGAAGACCGGUGGAUCAUCACCGAAGGCUACAUACUUCUUCUCACCGAUAGCGAACAAGUACCGUGAGGGAAAGGUGAAAAGUACCCCUAGCCGGGGAGUGAAAUAGACCUGAAACCGUACGCAUACAAGGAGUCGGAGCCUCAGUUUACUGGGGUGACGGCGUGCCUAUUGAAGAAUGAGCCAACGAGUAUCUGGACGCGGCAGGUUAAGUUGCACCAUGCAACGGAGCCAAAGCGAAAGCGAGUCUUAACCGGCGUUAGUCGCGCUCAGAUGACCCGAAACCGGGUGAGCUACCCUUGGGCAGGAUGAACGUUCCGUAACAGGAACGGGAGGUCCGAACCCACCGUGAUCACAAACACGGGGGAUGACCUGAGGGUAGAGGUGAAACGCUUAUCGAACCCGGAGAUAGCU
rnacentral:rRNA from 1 species